AACAACACUUGCAAGUUGUCCCUGAUAACUUAGAGGAAGCCAAGAGCUGUCAGAAAAGGUAGACCUCCUUUCUCAAGGAGCCGAUUUGAGGGGGUGAGGAGAACUACUCUUCAUUAGAUGAGAGGAGAGAAGCCAGAUGUUUGGAGCUGGAGUUGGCUAUAUGACUCCUACCACCUGCUGCUGCUAAUUUGUUCCUGGGUCGACCAUCUGACCUUCUGCCCACGAAAUGAAACAGUGAAACACUCCUUCUGCCAACAGAGUAUUGCCAGCACGAAACUUAAUGAAUAAAUAAAGACCAGAGAAUACAGAUCCCAAUUGCCCUCCAGACCACAGCCGGUGCUGUCACAGAGGGCUUCGGCAAUCCAAAGGAAUAAAGCUGAACCAAGUAACAAGGGCAGCCAGAAGCCUCCCCAGAGAAGGUGGAUGAUGAGCAAAUGAGAAAGGGAAGGAGAGGAUGAGAACUCCUGGCUGGAGGAAAAUAUAACCAGAAAGAGAAAGUAAAGCCAGAGCCACGUGAAUCACAAAAAUGGAAACAAACAAAAAAUGAUGACAAAAACACCUCC
ensembl:lncRNA